UGCAGCAGCAGCAGCACAUAUAGUAAACCUGGAAUGAUGCAGAGGAGAUUAGGGUGGCCCCUGCGCAAGGGUGACACUCAAAUCAGUGAAGCGUUCCCUUCCCCC